UACGUAGGGGGCUAGCGUUGUCCGGAAUCAUUGGGCGUAAAGCGCGUGUAGGCGGUCCGGUAAGUCCGCUGUGAAAGUCGGGGGCUCAACCCUCGGAUGCCGGUAGAUACUGUCGGGCUUGAGUACGGAAGAGGCGAGUGGAAUUCCUGGUGUAGCGGUGAAAUGCGCAGAUAUCAGGAGGAACACCAAUUGCGAAGGCAGCUCGCUGGGACGUUACUGACGCUGAGACGCGAAAGCGUGGGGAGCAAACAGG
rnacentral:rRNA from 1 species